rnacentral:rRNA from 1 species
AACGAACGCUGGCGGCAGGCUUAACACAUGCAAGUCGAACGGUUGUAGCAAUACAGCAGUGGCAGACGGGUGAGUAACACGUGGGAACCUUCCUAGGGGUACGGAACAACUCAGGGAAACUUGAGCUAAUACCGUAUACGUCCGUGAGGAGAAAGAUUUAUCGCCCUUAGACGGGCCCGCGUCGGAUUAGCUAGUUGGUGGGGUAAGGGCAUACCAAGGCGACGAUCCGUAGCUGAUCUUAGAGGAUGAUCAGCCACACUGGGACUGAGACACGGCCCAGACUCCUACGGGAGGCAGCAGUGGGGAAUCUUGGACAAUGGGCGCAAGCCUGAUCCAGCCAUGCCGCGUGAGUGAAGAAGGUCUUCGGAUUGUAAAGCUCUUUUGCCAGGGACGAUAAUGACGGUACCUGGAGAAUAAGCCCCGGCAAACUUCGUGCCAGCAGCCGCGGUAA